AAUAUUGGUCAAUGGAGGCAACUCUGAACCAGCAAAGUCGCGUUAAGGAUGACUGCCAUAUGUGUUGUAAACUUCUUUUUUAGGGGAAUAAAUUUAGCUACGUAUAGCUAAUUGCAUUUACUUUACGAAUAGUGAUCGGAUAACCCCGUGCCAGCAGCUCCUGUAAUACGGCGGAUCCGAGCGUUACCCGGAUUUCUUGGGUUUAAAGGGUGCGCAGGCGGGGGAUUAAGUCGGCGGUGAAAGUUUGCAGCUUAACUGUAAAAGUGCCGUUGAUACUGGUUCUCUUGAGUAUAUAUGAAGUAGGCGGAAUUUGUGGUGUAGCGGUGAAAUGCAUAGAGAUCACAAGGAACUCCGAUUGCGAAGGCAGCUUACUAAAAUACAACUGACGCUAAGGCACGAAGGCGUGGGUAGCAAACA
rnacentral:rRNA from 1 species